rnacentral:rRNA from 1 species
UACGUAGGGGGCAAGCGUUGUCCGGAAUCAUUGGGCGUAAAGCGCGCGUAGGCGGCCCGAUAAGUCUGCUGUGAAAGUCCAGGCUCAACCCUGGAAUGCCGGUGGAUACUGUCGGGCUAGAGUUCGGAAGAGGCAAGUGGAAUUCCUGGUGUAGCGGUGGAAUGCGCAGAUAUCAGGAGGAACACCUAUAGCGAAGGCAGCUUGCUGGGACGACACUGACGCUAAGGCGCGAAAGCGUGGGGAGCGAACAGG